CCCGACCAGAUCUCCGUCCGCCAUGGCUGCGUCUGUACCCGAGCUCCGCCGUGGACAGCUAUAAAAGGAGGCGCACCUCAACCUUGUCAACAUCGACACACUAGCCUGGAUGGUGGUCCCCGCCCGUCAGCCUCUAACCGGAGCCACCUCAGCUUUCCUGCCUAGUCAGCAUCCCAGUCAGCAGCCGGCCCACGCGUCAGCACCUGCGGCUGGCUCUUCCUGGCAUUUGCUUCUUCCCGGAUAGGAUCGCGAAGUGGUGUUGUGAGACACGAC